rnacentral:tRNA from 1 species
GGAGGCGUGGCCGAGCGGACGAAGGCAGCGGUCUUGAAAACCGCCAGCCCCUAGCGGGCUCGUGGGUUCGAAUCCCACCGCCUCCG